CUGGUGGGCUGCCGUCUAUGGGGUCACACAGAGUUGGACGCGACUGAAGUGACUUAGCAGCAGUAGCAGCACACUCUAGGAAAAUAACACUAAAAAUCCUUCAAGCUAGGCUUCAACAGUACGUGAACUGAGAAAUUCCAGAUGUACAAGUUGGAUUUAGAAAAGGCAGAGGAACCAGAGAUCAAAUUGCCAACAUUUGUUGAAUCAUAGAAAAAGCAAGAGAAUUCCAGAAAAACAUCUGCUUCAUUGACUACACUAAAGCCUGUGACUAUGUGGAUCACAACAAACUGGAAAAUUCUUAAAAAGAGGGUAAUACCAGACCAUCUCACCUGCCUCCUGAGAAAUCUGUAUGCAGGUCAAGAAGCAACAGUUAGAACCAGACAUGGAAGAAUGGACUGGUUCAAAAUUGGGAAAGGAGUAUGUCAAGGCUGUAUAUUGUCACCCUGCUUAUUUAACAUAUGCAGAGUAUAUCAUGCAAACUGAUGACAAGCUGGAGUCAAGAUUGCCAGAAGAAAUAUCAAUAAUCUCAGAUAUGCAGAUGACACCACCCUUAUGGCAGGGUGAAGGGGAUCUAAAGAGCCUCUUGAUGAAAAGUGAAAAAAGAGAGUGAAAAAGCUGGCUUAAAACUGAACAUUCAAAAAACUAAGAUCAUGGAGUUCAGUCCCCUCACUUCAUGGCAAAUAGAUGGGGAAACAAUGGAAACAGUCACACACUUAAUUUUCUUGGGCUCCAAAAUCACUGCAGAUGAUGACUGCAGCCAUGAAUUAAAAGAUGCUUGCUCCUUGGAAGAAAAGCAUUGACAAACCUAGACAGAUAUUAAAAAGCAAAGACAUUACUUUGCUGGCAAAGGUCUGUUUAGUCAAAGCUAUGGUUUUAACUGUAGUCAUGUAUGGAUGUGAGAGUUGGACCAUAAAGAAGGCUGAGCACCGAAGAAUUGAUGCUUUUGAGCUCUAGUGUUGGAGAGGACUCUUGAGAGUCCCUUGGACUGCAAGGAGAUCCAGCUUGUCCAUCCUAAAGGAGAUCAAUCCUGAAUAUUCAUUGGAAAGACUGAUGCUGGAGCUGAAGCUCCAAUACUUUGGCCACCUGAUGUGAAGAGCUGACUCAUUGGAAAAGACCCUGAUCCUCGGAAGAAAGACGGCAGGAGAAGGGGACAAUAGAGGCUGAGAUGUUUGGAUGGCAUCAUCAACUCCAUGGACAUGAGUUUGAGCAAGCUCUGGGGGUUGGUGAAGGACAGGAAGCCUGGCGUGCUGCAGUCCAUGGGGUCGCAAAGAGUCCGACACAGCUGAGCGACAGAACAGCAGCAACCAGCGUGCAUGCUAAGUCGCUUCAGUCCUUUCUGACUCUUGGUGACCCUGUGCACUGGAGUCAGCCAGGCUCCUCUGUCCAUUGGAUUCUCCAGGCAAGAGUACUGGAGUGGGUUGCAAUGCCCUCCUCUAGGGGAAUCUUCCCAACCCAUGGGUUGAGCCUGCGUCUCUUAUGUCUCCUGUAUUAGCAGGUGGGUUCUUUACCACUCUUGCCGCCUGGGAAGCUGUGGACCACCAGGGGAGUCCUCAAAUUAUGUUCUAAAAUAAUCCAUGAGGAAAAGACUGUACAAUAAAAUAAAAACCCCAGGAGAAGCAGAGUGCAAGUGUACCCUUUUCAGCAGCAUUUGGAGUCUAAAAUUUUGAAUCAGCACAGCGCAGCCACCGGAAUCGUGCUUGGGUUUGAAUCCCAGAGCUGCAACGUGGCUUUGGAGAAGCGACUUAACCUCCCCCGUUCUUCAUUUCUAAAAUGGGGCAGUGGUGCCUCUUACAGGCUCAGCCUGAGGAUGAAAUAGGGUGCGUAGGACGCAAGCUCUCAGGAAGCCUGUGUCUGUGAUUAUUACAGGUCUUGCUAUUGUUGUUACUCUAAUGGUGUUAUUAGCAGCUCUGCACUUCCUCCCGUGGGCUCAGCAGCAUGUGCUCACCAGGGUCAUAUUCACCGGAAAUGAGGACACACGCUUAUUCUCUGUUAAAACUUCAUCUGAAAACUCUCCUGUGAUGUUCUCUAGAGACCCAUGGGUUAUGUAGUGGACCAGGGAAUUUGCAGCUCGCUUAAUGGUUAGGUUAGCAACCAUCCCCUUGUAACUGGUAACUGAUGGCUCAGACUGUAAAGAAUCUGCCUGCAAUGCAAGAGAUCUGGGUUUGAUCCCUGGGUCAGGACAAUCCCCUGGAGAAGUGAAUGGCUACCCACUCCAGUAUUCCUGCCUAGAGAAUUCCAUGGAUAGAGGAGCCUGGUGGGCUACAGUCCAUGAGAUUGCAAAGAGUCAGGCACGACUGAGUGACUUAACACUUUCAACUGGUAACUGCUCAUCAUAACUCGAGUUACCAAGCUGGGUGUUCUCAAGGGAAAGCUUGUUGCUACUGAGGAACCGUUAAAUGCCUGAUUGAGGAAAGGUCUCUGGGUUUCCACCCCGCCCGUCCCCACCCCCACCAAGUCCUCGGUGCCCUGAGCCGUGGUUUCGUGCCCAUUUACUGUCUUACUUCCCUUUGGUUCACACUUGACUUCUGUGAAUCCCUCCUUUCCCUCUCCUGCUGGGUUCUGUCCCUUCUCUCUCUGAGGGAGAUCUCUGAGGCUUCUCUGUCCCAGGAGGGACAAGUAGAUUUAACAUGUGGAGCAUUGUUGGGAAAAAUCCUACUGGAUAAAAGAAAUCAACGCAGCCUGCCUGGAGUGUUUACUUUUUGAAAAGCUGACAGCUGGUAGGAUGGAUGGGGAGACCGGCCAGCAGAACUUGAUCUGGUUGCCUUCGUUCAGCAGGCUGUCGGGAAGCUUCAAGGUGAGCUUUUGUGUCUCACAGUUGUCAGAUGGACUGUGUGAACUGUGGUGGUGGAUAGUCCCUCUCUUCAACAAGCCCAGGCUCUUGAGAGAAUCUGAUUGGGUUGAUCCUCCAAGGGCUUGCGAGGCACCAGCAUUUAAUUUCUAAGGCAGUGGUGAACUACUACCCCGGGUGCAGUGAAACAGUGGUUCCAAAGGCUGCUGUUUACUAAGCACUUGCUACACGCCACAUCCCGGGCGGACUGAGCACAAUUCCAGUUUUCCAGAACAACCUCUGAGGCAGGUGGUUUCCAUUUUGCAAGCAUGCAAUUUGCAAAAGACACAAUUAGGAUUCAGCUAGUUUUGAUGUGUUUGUGGGAGGAGGCAAGCUCCACAUCCUUUUUCACCAUCUUGAGCUUUCCCCACCAAGGUUCAGAUAAUUUUCAUGACUUUCACAACAUCAAAAGUAAAUGACAAAGUUGAAAUUCAAUUCACAUCUCCAUUGACGAGGAUCUGAUCUCCAUAACUCAUUUAUUUUCCUUAGCCCCCUCCCUCAGCCAAAACACUGUGAAGCUCAGUUAUGUUUAGAGCUGUAUUUAUUGUAGAGGUAAUGGUUCUGUCUUAAUUUAUCAAGAUCCUUUAGAUCUAGGUUGUAGACAAAGCCUGGGCUUCCCAGGUGGCGCUAGUAGUAAAGGCCCUGCCUGCCAGUGCAGGAGAUGCAAGAGACAUGAGUUUGGUCUCUGGGAAGGGACGAUUCCUCGGAAGAGGGCAUGGCAACCCACUCCAGUAUUCUUGCCUAGAAAACCCCGUGGACAGAGAAGCCUGGUGGGCUGCAGUCAGUAGGGUCGCAAAGAAUCAGAUAUGACUGAAGAGACUUGGCACGCACACAUGCCUAAACAAAGAUUGGCGUAGAACUCUGUGACAUUGAACAACAUCUCUGCAGACUCGGAUCUUCCUCUGUGCCCAAUUAGGGUGGCAAAUGUUAUGCCCUCCACCCCGUCCCCUGCCUACUCUACAUGGUGUCCUAUGGCAAGAGGUGCAAAAAUUUUCAUGAGAUCUCAGAAUGCCUGUAAUACUCAAGAAACUUGGGAGAAAAAGGGCUUGGUGGGUGACCAGAAAAGAAAUCAGUGUGUUUUUUAACACUGACUGAAGUGACAGUUGGGGAACCGACUCUUGAGAGAGUGCCAACAUGUUGCAAAAGUUGGCAGUUAGCCCUAGAGUGAGAGUGAGCUAAUUAAUUAGGAACGAUCCUCAACCUCGCUGCCUUUCACAGCCUCCCAUGGGAGAAAAGACAGAUCAAGAAGGCUUGGAGAUCAAGAGUGCUGCAACCUGACCUUGGUGCAGUCUGGGGGGAGGUCAGAAAGGUGACUCGUGGUUUAUUUCAGAUCCUCCCUUUAAAAAGUGGUGUGAAAGAUUUGGCAAACAAUGAUCACUCCCCUUUAGGAACUGUUGUUUAACCACAGAAGCAGAAAAGUAGGGGUGUGUGGGGGGGUGGGAAACUCAUUUGAUUUAGCAGGAUUUAAUUUUGCUGAAAACUGGCUCAACAUCCCUGGUUGUAUGAAGAGAUGGCCUUGUGGGGUCAGUCUUCGUGUGGCAGGAAACCCGGGCCCUUUGGGGUUGGGUGGGGUGACACCUGUAUCUGAUAGAGUGCGCAGAGGCUUCUCAGAGGGGCUUUCUCAAGCGCAGGCUUGCUCUUUGCACCAGGUUUGCUGCUGUCUGAACCCCAGCAUCCCGUGUUCACGCACCUGGCAGCUGCUUCUCGCCCUUCCCAGUUGUAGGUGUGAGGGCUUGUUUGUUUAAACCUCGAGCAACACUUCUUGGAAAAACAAAACAACAUGCUCACUUGCCUGGGCACUGCAUGCUCUUCCUGAAUGUCGUCCUGCCCAUUGGCCCAGAGGCAUCCUGGGUGGAGUGAGUUUCGGGGAUGGUUUGGGGAGUUUCGGGAACGGGCUCUGGGCUGGGUCUGUCGGGUGGCAGUUGCUGUUGGUUUUCAUCAUUCUGGAACAGCUGGGGGUCAGGGGGCAUCGCUGUAGAUGUAGGUUCUUAGGUUCUGGCCUCACGCUUCUCAGCCUGAGGGCAGAUGCACCCGGGGAAGCAUUUACCCUAAACCUAACCCUGCUCCUAACACGCACCUUAACCCGGACAGGUGGGAGGGAACCCUCAUCUGGCUUGUGUUCUCAUCAGGACUCACGAAAAACCGCUGGUUGGAUGGAGUCCCUGCUGGAUGUUGCCCCCACCCACUGCUGGCUGCCAGCUUCAUGCCCCUUCAUGCCCCAGCCCCUGCGCAGAUGAAGAGGAUUAGGGGACAGAGGUGGCGCAGAGCAGGCGUUCAGGAAUCACCUGCUCCUUUGCUGUCCUGAAGUGUGCACGCAGCGGUCCCACAGGUGGUACAACUGGUAAAGAUUCUGCCUACCCAUGCAGGAGACAGAGACGUGGGUUCGAUCCUUGAGUGUCGAAGAUCCCCUGGAGAGGGAAGUGGCAACCCACUCCAGUUUCUCGCCUGGAAGAUUCCAUGGACAGAAGAACCUGGUGGGCUGCAGUCCGUGUCGUCGCAGAGAGUCAGACGCCACUGAGCACAGAUGCGCACACGCAGCAUGCUAUGGG
ensembl:lncRNA